AUACUGAUGGUGAGGGCAUUGGUUAAGCAAUUCUCUAUAUCUUUCCCAAGCCUCACGUGAUUAUUCACCUUCUUGCUAUUUGAAAUCAUGAAUUUGUCUUCUCAGCUU
rfam:Corchorus olitorius cultivar O-4 contig18556, whole genome shotgun sequence.